rnacentral:rRNA from 1 species
GACGAACGCUGGCGGCGUGCUUAACACAUGCAAGUCGAACGGUAAGGCCCUUCGGGGUACACGAGUGGCGAACGGGUGAGUAACACGUGGGUGAUCUGCCCUGCACUUCGGGAUAAGCCUGGGAAACUGGGUCUAAUACUGGAUAGGACCGCUGCCUGCAUGGGUGGUGGUGGAAAGCUUUUGCGGUGUGGGAUGGGCCCGCGGCCUAUCAGCUUGUUGGUGGGGUGAUGGCCUACCAAGGCGACGACGGGUAGCCGGCCUGAGAGGGUGACCGGCCACACUGGGACUGAGAUACGGCCCAGACUCCUACGGGAGGCAGCAGUGGGGAAUAUUGCACAAUGGGCGCAAGCCUGAUGCAGCGACGCCGCGUGAGGGAUGACGGCCUUCGGGUCGUAAACCUCUUUCAGCACCGACGAAGCGCAAGUGACGGUAGGUGCAGAAGAAGGACCGGCCAACUACGUGCCAGCAGCCGCGGUAA